CGGACGGGGUGGAGGUAACGCGUGGGUAACCGUGCCUUGUACAGGGGAUAACGAGUUGGAAACGGCUGCUAAUACCGCAUAAGCGCACGGCAUCGCAUGAUGCAGUGUGAAAAACUCCGGUGGUAUAAGAUGGACCCGCGUUGGAUUAGCUAGUUGGUGAGGUAACGGCCCACCAAGGCGACGAUCCAUAGCCGACCUGAGAGGGUGACCGGCCACAUUGGGACUGAGACACGGCCCAA
rnacentral:rRNA from 1 species